GGGCGAUUGGUUUAGUGGUAUAACGUCUGCUUAGCAUCUGAAGAAAAAAGUACAUCGUCACGACGAUCUACGAUGCCUGCUGAAGGUCGCGCGUUCGAUUCGCGCAUUGUCCA